UGGGGAAUAUUGCACAAUGGGCGCAAGCCUGAUGCAGCCAUGCCGCGUGUGUGAAGAAGGCCUUCGGGUUGUAAAGCACUUUCAGCGGGGAGGAAGGCGGUGAGGUUAAUAACCUCACCGAUUGACGUUACCCGCAGAAGAAGCACCGGCUAACUCCGUGCCAGCAGCCGCGGUAAUACGGAGGGUGCAAGCGUUAAUCGGAAUUACUGGGCGUAAAGCGCACGCAGGCGGUCUGUCAAGUCGGAUGUGAAAUCCCCGGGCUCAACCUGGGAACUGCAUUCGAAACUGGCAGGCUAGAGUCUUGUAGAGGGGGGUAGAAUUCCAGGUGUAGCGGUGAAAUGCGUAGAGAUCUGGAGGAAUAACGGUGGCGAAGGCGGCCCCCUGGACAAAGACUGACGCUCAGGUGCGAAAGCGUGGGGAGCAAACAGG
rnacentral:rRNA from 1 species